UACGUAGGGUGCGAGCGUUAAUCGGAAUUACUGGGCGUAAAGCGUGCGCAGGCGGUUUUGUAAGCCAGAUGUGAAAUCCCCGGGCUUAACCUGGGAAUGGCAUUUGGGACUGCAAGGCUGGAGUGUGGCAGAGGAGACUGGAAUCCUGGUGUAGCAGUGAAAUGCGUAGAUAUCAGGAGGAAUACCGAUGGCGAAGGCAGGUCUCUGGGCUGACACUGACGCUCAUGCACGAAAGCGUGGGGAGC
rnacentral:rRNA from 1 species